rnacentral:rRNA from 1 species
GAUUUCUGGCUUGAAACAUUAUGCCGGCCACGGUUUCGUGUGUUAGUGCAUUGGUGUUCUGGCCAUCCUUCCAAUCGCUAUUUGUCUUUCUUCAUUGAUGGGCAAGUGGUAUUGGAUCUUUUACUUUGAAAAAAUUAGAGUGUUUCAAGCAGGCUUUAUGCUAUGAAUACAUUAGCAUGGAAUAAUAAUUUAGGACUUCGGUUCUAUUUUGUUGGUUUCUAGGACUGAAGUAAUGAUUGAUAGGGAUAGUUGGGGGUGCUAGUAUUCAGCGGCCAGAGGUGAAAUUCUCGGAUUCGCUGAAGACUAACUUAUGCGAAAGCAUU